rnacentral:rRNA from 1 species
UACGGAGGGGGCUAGCGUUGUUCGGAAUUACUGGGCGUAAAGCGUACGUAGGCGGCUUUGUAAGUUAGAGGUGAAAGCCCGGGGCUCAUCUCCGGAAUUGCCUUUUAGACUGCAUCGCUUGAAUCAUGGAGAGGUGAGUGGAAUUCCGAGUGUAGAGGUGAAAUUCGUAGAUAUUCGGAAGAACACCAGUGGCGAAGGCGACUCACUGGACGUGUAUUGACGCUGAGGUACGAAAGCGUGGGGAGCAAACAGG